rnacentral:rRNA from 1 species
CCAAUAGCGUAUAUUAAAGUUGUUGCGGUUAAAAAGCUCGUAGUUGAAUUUCGGGGUUCUACCGUUGGUCGGGCAAUAGUCUGUACUGGCGUGUGGAAUUUCUACCUUCUGGGGAACCAUCAUGUUAUUAAUUUAGCGUGGUGGGAAACCAGGACCUUUACCUUGAAAAAAUUAGAGUGUUCAAAGCAGGCUUACGUCUGAAUACAUUAGCAUGGAAUAAUAAAAUAGGACGGUGGUCCUGUUUUGUUGGUUUCUGAAUCACCGUAAUGAUUAAUAGGGAUAGUUGGGGGCAUUAGUAUUCAAUUGUCAGAGGUGAAAUUCUUGGAUUUAUUGAAGACUAACUUCUGCGAAAGCAUUUGCCAAGGAUGUUUUCAUUAAUCAAGAACGAAAGUUAGGGGAUCGAAGACGAUCAGAUACCGUCGUAGUCUUAACCAUAAACUAUGCCGACUAGGGAUCGGACGAUGUUAAUUUUUCUUGACUCGUUCGGCGCCUUACG